AGGGAUAUAACUCAGCGGUAGAGUGCCACCUUGACCUAGUGGAAGUCAUCAGUUCGAGUCUGAUUAUCCCUA
rfam:Oryza glaberrima chromosome 1 Oglab01_0157_1, whole genome shotgun sequence.